rnacentral:misc_RNA from 1 species
GGACGAUUUACGACAAGGUCACGUACUAAAUGCUCUGUUUGACAAGAAAACAAGGAAAAAGAAACGCAGGGAGAUGCUCUAACAAAGUUUUAUUGAUAUAUUAAUUCAACAAUUUAUGAAAUGUUGAGAAACAUAAAUAGAUCUACAUGACGUCAUAAAGUACAAUUUCUUUUUAUGCUUUGUAAUCCCAAAACGGCAUACACUCGUUUCUAUUUUCUAUUUUAUCGUUUUAUGAUGCAAACUGUAAAAAAUAUCAAAAUUAUACAAGUAAAUAUAAUGAUACCUACUAUGAUUUUGUUCUUUAAUGACGUUGCUAAUCACAAAGGAAAAUAGGAAAAAGUUUUGUCAGGAUUUGACAAAGUUUGGUCGUGAUAUGAGGAUUAAAUUUCUUUAUAAGCUUUAAUAGGAAUAAUAGUAUUAAGUAUAUAGACAACUAUAAUAUAUACAUAGAUACUGUACAUAGUAUGUUGUUAUUUAAUAGCUGUAAUAAGACUCGGUAUAAUUUAAAAUAAAAUAUAGCAUAUUGUCAAAUAUACAUUUUAUAUAUUGCGUAUAAAAUCCUAUAGGGCAGCGUACACGUUGUCGACUUUCUACGAUUAUGGUUCCAUUACGACAAGGAUCGUAGCGGUUUCAUUGAACGAGAUGAGCUGGAACAAUUUGCUGCCGACUUAAUUCGCAAACAAGGAGUAGUAAGCUUUGAUAACAAAUCCAACUCAUAUUUUCUUAGUUAUAUGAAAAACAAAUUAUUCAUAACUUUUCGUAUUAGAAAAAUAUUAUACUUUAUAAAUAUUUAUCUAUAAUUUUCGUUAUUUUUCCUUCCCGCAUCUAAAUAUCAGAAAGAAUCGACACCCGAAGCCGUUGGGGCAGCUACGAGACUAUUUUUGAAGAUGUUUGAUAGGAAUAGAGAUAAAAGAAUCGAGUUGGGAGAAUUUGCCGAGAUUAUAUUCACUGACGAGCAAUGGACACCAUUCGAUCUACGUGACAAGUUAAGCAAAAGAGAUUUCGACGAAAUAUUCAACUACUAUGAUAAGGACGGAAGCGAAUAUUUGGAAUGUGGUGAAAUGAGAGAUUUUUUGAAAGACAUCACUGUCAAAAUUGGUCAGGUACCCACAAAGCGUCAAUUAGAGGAACAAACGGCCGUCUUCUUCCGUCUCUACGAUACGGACAAGAACGGAAAACUAUCGAGAGAUGAACUUCGAUUUUUGCUGACAAACAAGAAAUAAUAAAACUCUUCAUUUUCCAUUUAAUUCUAUUCCCAAUCGUUAUUCCACAUUACCUAAAUGCGUAAAUCUCACUGUUGUAACGUUUUAGAUAAUUAGACGUAAUUUCUCUAUAAUAGGAAUUUAAGCUGUUGUGUAAAUGAUAUAUAAUAGAAGUAACAUUUUCACUAUAGUUGUAAAACAGUUGUGAAUGCAUCUUAAAUGAAGAGGAAAAAUAGAAGAAGAAGAAGGGUAGAAGAGAGAAAUUGUGGGAAUAACGAUAGAUCAAUAAAUAAUGAAUAGACAAAACAAAACUUGGGCGUGCUGCUUGUUUUUUUUUUUCACUUAAAAAAAAAUCUUUAAUUAAUAUCCUGAAUGGUAACACUUUCUAAACUAUUAAUUUUACUAGGGAAAAAGUAGAAUUUGGUCUACGUCCUAAAUGGAUAGAAUAUAAGUCAUUAAUUCUACAAUAAGUGAAUCAGAGGGGCUUUCGUGACCAAAAACAUCUAGGCUUUUACUCUAUUUCAUUGAUUAUAUUUAAAUUUAACUUUCAACUAACUGUCUGUGGGCUAUUGACAACACAUAAUCAAUCAAAAUCUGAUUGUUAUUUAGACAGAAUUUAAUAUAGUAAGUUUAUAGUAUAAUCAUAAAUUAUACCUAAAAUAAUUUAAUGCGAAAUAUUUAGUAUUUACCUUAUCAACACUUAGCCUAGCAACAAUAUUAAUUGAUAGUAAAAAGGUCUUGAUUUCUAUUUCUAUUCUUUUUCUCGUUAUAUAUUCCAUGGAAAAAGGGAAAAAAACGAG